AUUCGUCAGCGUCAGAAACCCCUCCUCGCUUUUUGCCAAGGUCUCCUGAAUUUCUAUUGGCCGGUGAACGGCGGUACAAUGAUUGACGUCUCCUCCAAUGAGGAAUCGUUCGGUUUAGUUCCAUUGAGUAAUUCAGUCGAGCCAGCGUGCUCAUCUUGACGAUGCAACGUAUCUACUGAUGGACCCGCUCAUAUAAGAUUCAUCGGAAAUAUUGAAGACCUCAUCCCCACAUGAAUUGCCAGCGUCGUCAAGGGAUACGAUUUCACAAGAAGUUUGAGGGCAACACGCCACUCUUGAAAGAAACGCCGCAAGAGCUGGGACCGGCUUCUUCACAGCGUGCGCCCGUGUGGGCGGUUUUCCGCCAUAGUGUGGAACCCUACAACACAUCAGGGAGAGAGAAAUGAGACGCCAUUUUGAAUUGUUCUUCGGAACCACGUCUGCUCGAGCCUCGUUCAAGGCAGCUGUUGCCCAACACCAAGGGAAUUCGCGAAGCAAAG